rnacentral:RNase_P_RNA from 1 species
CGAGUAGGUCAGUCUAUCGCGUUACCGCAAGGUAAUGAGGAAAGUCCGGACAGCACAGGGCGUUGCGCUCUUGAAAUAAGAGAAGUCUGCGAAGGUUUGGCAGCGGAGAAGAGAACGACUUCCUUGGCAACAAGGUAAAGGUGAGAAGGUGGGGUAAGAGCCCACCGGUGGCGGUGGCGACACCGUCAGCCGUCCGUCCCGCAAGCUGCAAGUUCAUGUAUAUCGGCGUUAUAGGGUUGCCCGCCCGAGCCGAGGGGUAGAAUGCACAGAUAAAUGAUAGACAGCAUCACACGAUGCCACAGAAUUCGGCUUACGGCCUGCUCGUUUU